GAUCUGGGAAGUAACUGCGGUCGGCGCCAUGUUAAGUCGGGGCAAAAGGGACGGCGUCACUUGGGGGUUGGGCGCCCGAAGCAAAUUCUCGAAGCCGCGUGGGACGUGCGGGCGGCGUUUAAGUGCUCGCAGAGACACACUCCGCCUGGCUGAGGGGAGAUGAGUGACGAGAUAAAUGGGAACUUUCGGAUGCCGGUUUCCGCCCGUUGGGGAGCGAAGACCGGGAAGUUGGGCAGUGCGCCGGGAGAGCGCGGCCGAGUGACAGCGUCUCCGUGGUUGGGCGGCCGGGGUGCGAGGGGCGGUGCCACCUUCCCGGAGGUGGCGGCCGGCGGCAUUCCCGGGCCCCCGAGGUCGGCUGCCGCCUCGGGAAGAGAACACACGUCAGUACUACCGUCAACAGAAAUCCGAAAGGCCGGGCAACGGCGGCGGGCGCCCCGGGAAGGGAGCCUGAAAAUGCAUCCAGAAAGGUCCAACCUGGAAAAUUGUGGAUAUUCCUCAAAUCUGGCAGACUUGGUCCUGAAUGACAGCACACUUCCUCCACCCCAUGGCAUCCAACCCAAAAAGCAGGGAGGGGCAACUGGGGUGGAGUGAUGGGCCGGAGAAUGAAAGUAAGCACAGUUUCCAAAAGCAAAGUGCUACAGCUGGAAAGCAUGCCUGGAAGAUAAAGCCACAGAACCCAUGAAGAUCUGAGCCAGGGCACCUCAUAUGGAUAAGAAUUUUCCUGCAGCAAUCUUACCCCUAAUGUCAAGGACACUUGAGACAGUCCAAUUCUUUGCUUUGUUCCCCUUAACAUUAAAUCAUGAGCCUUUUCCAUGUUUUGAAAUGUCCACGAAACAUACAUUUUAAGAGCUGCCUAAUAUUCCACUGGAAGGGUGUACAAUAAUUUAACAGUUUCCUUACUGUGUGGCAUUUAGGAUGUUGCCAAAUUGUCAGUGUAAUAAACCCUAUUCCAUCAAA